GGGAAAGAGGAAGAUGUUCACUGAGCUCCAGGCGCAGGAGAGAUUGUUGGUGGAUGAGAACACAAUGCUCAGAAUGAGAGUGGAAUCCAAGCGGAAGGAGCUCGAGGCUUUAAUUGCGGAAAACCGGAGACUACAGUGUAAGAAGUCCAGCCCGCAGCAUUCCAGAGCUGCAGAUGAAGCGGCAAAGCCUCAAUUUUGUUUGCCAGAUUUAAACGAGCCUGCAAUGGCUACAUGAGAGAUUAAAGCUCUCUAAUCUCAAUACCAUAAUCUGCUGGCAAACUGAAGUGUACGACCCCUUCGG